rnacentral:lncRNA from 1 species
UUGCAGCUCAUAGCAAAACCCAUCCGAUUCACAUGGUUAGAGCGGUUCAAUUGCAUAGAUGAUAUUUUUAGUGAACGAUACCAAGAUAACCUCUAUGUUGUCUGUUUAUUUCCACUAUAUGCCACGAUCAACAUCAAUGUAGAACUACAUUUGCAAUGGUGAUAACAUAAAGAUAAGGCAUGCACUUUGUUUCGUAAGAUCACUGUAGAGAGACA